rnacentral:rRNA from 1 species
GAGGAAAAGAAACCAACAGGGAUUGCCCCAGUAACGGCGAGUGAAGCGGCACUAAUUUGAAAUCUGGCCCCAGGCCCGAGUUGUAAUUUGCAGAGGAUGCUUUUGGCGCGGUGCCUUCCGAGUUCCCUGGAACGGGACGCCAUAGAGGGUGAGAGCCCCGUACGGUUGGACACCAAGCCUUUGUAAAGCUCCUUCGACGAGUCGAGUAGUUUGGGAAUGCUGCUCUAAAUGGGAGGUACAUUUCUUCUAAAGCUAAAUAUUGGCCAGAGACCGAUAGCGCACAAGUAGAGUGAUCGAAAGAUGAAAAGCACUUUGAAAAGAGGGUUAAACAGCACGUGAAAUUGUUAAAAGGGAAGCGCUUGUGACCAGACUUGCGUCCGGUGAAUCACCCAGCUCUCGCGGCUGGGGCACUUCGCCGGCACAGGCCAGCAUCAGCUUGCCGUCGGGGACAAAAGCUUCAGGAACGUGGCUCCUCUCGGGGAGUGUUAUAGCCUGUUGCACAAUACCCUUCGGCGGGCUGGUCGCGCUCCGCAAGGAUGCUGGCGUAAUGGUCAUCAGCGACCCGU